rnacentral:rRNA from 1 species
GAUUCUGGCUCAGGAUGAACGCUAGCUACAGGCUUAACACAUGCAAGUCGAGGGGCAGCAUGAACUUAGCUGCUAAGUUGAUGGCGACCGGCGCACGGGUGAGUAACGCGUAUCCAACCUGGCCCUUAGUAGGGGAUAGCCCGGCGAAAGUCGGAUUAAUACCCUAUGUUGUUUGAGGCAGACAUCUAAUUCAAACCAAAGAUUUAUCGCUAAGGGAUGGGGAUGCGUCCGAUUAGGUAGUGGGCGGGGUAACGGCCCACCUAGCCCUCGAUCGGUAGGGUUCUGAGAGGAAGGUCCCCCACAUUGGAACUGAGACACGGUCCAAACUCCUACGGGAGGCAGCAGUGAGGAAUAUUGGUCAAUGGCCGAGAGGCUGAACCAGCCAAGUAGCGUGCAGGAUGACGGCCCUAUGGGUUGUAAACUGCUUUUAUCAGGGGAUAAAGUCGCCUACGCGUAGGUGUUUGUAGGUACCUGAUGAAUAAGGACCGGCUAAUUCCGUGCCAGCAGCCGC